UACGGAGGGUGCAAGCAUUAAUCGGAAUUAUUGGGCGUAAAGGGCGCGUAGUCUGGAAGAAAAGUCAAGUGUGAAAUCCCAGGGCUCAACCCUGGAACAGCACUUGAAACUUUCUUUCUGGAGGAUAGGCGGAGAAAACGGAAUUCCACGUGUAGCGGUGAAAUGCGUAGAUAUGUGGAAGAACACCUGUGGCGAAAGCGGUUUUCUAGUUUAUACCUGACGCUGAGGCGCGAGAGCAAGGGGAGCAAACAGG
rnacentral:rRNA from 1 species